rnacentral:rRNA from 1 species
GACGAACGCUGGCGGCGUGCCUAAUACAUGCAAGUAGGACGCAGUUGCGAACGGGUGAGUAACGAGUAGGAAACUGCCUAUUAGAGGGGGAUAACUAAUGGAAACGAUAGCUAAUACCGCAUACUAGGAGAUGGACCUGCGUUGUAUUAGUUAGUAGGUAGGGUAAUGGCCUACAUAGGGAACGAUACAUAGCCGACCCGAGAUGGUGAUCGGCCACACUGGGACUGAGACACGGCCCAGACUCCUACGGGAGGCAGCAGUAGGGAAUCUUCGGCAAUGGGGGGAACCCUUACCGAGCAACGCCGCGUGAGUGAAGAAGGUUUUCGGAUCGUAAAGCUCUGUUGUUAAGGAAGCGGUACUUAACCAGAAAGGGACUGCUAACUACGUGCCAGCAGCCGCGGUAAUAC